CUGGGUUUCGGACCUCGUGUCCACUCACCCGCCCUUUGUCAUACGUACCCACAUCAUUUCGGCCCCUGGCUACCGGACGCCCCCUCCGUUAACUCGGCGGGGUACCGUACGUCGGCCGCGGGUCGGCAUUGCAAACCCACGCGGAUUACUGAAGUCUGAUAUUAUUUUUUAAACGAAAUUA
rnacentral:misc_RNA from 1 species